rnacentral:siRNA from 1 species
UGAUGAGACCGAGCGAUGAAAGCC